CCUACGGGUGGCUGCAGUGAGGAAUAUUGGUCAAUGGACGAGAGUCUGAACCAGCCAAGUAGCGUGAAGGAUGACUGCCCUAUGGGUUGUAAACUUCUUUUAUAUGGGAAUAAAACGUUCCACGUGUGGGAUUUUGUAUGUACCAUAUGAAUAAGGAUCGGCUAACUCCGUGCCAGCAGCCGCGGUAAUACGGAGGAUCCGAGCGUUAUCCGGAUUUAUUGGGUUAAAAGGGAGCGUAGGUGGAUUGUUAAGUCAGUUGUGAAAGUUUGCGGCUCAACCGUAAAAUUGCAGUUGAAACUGGCAGUCUUGAGUACAGUAGAGGUGGGCGGAAUUCGUGGUGUAGCGGUGAAAUGCUUAGAUAUCACGAAGAACUCCGAUUGCGAAGGCAGUUCACUGGACUGCAACUGACACUGAGGCUCGAAAGUGUGGGUAUCAAACAGGAUUAGAUACCCUUGUAGUC
rnacentral:rRNA from 1 species